CUCACUUCCUUUGGGAUGGGUCAUUGACACUAUAUAAAAUAGGAGAGGGUUCUUCACUCCUUCACUGGAACUUGUUGUUCUAAGGAACUACCGCUGCUGAACAAGGUUCAUCUUCCUACUCUUUAAAAAUGAGUUGCUGCUGUUGUAGAGGUCGUGGCUGCUGCUGCUGCAACACACGUAGGCCAAGAGUGGUCUACUAUGUCAGGAGGCAGGUCCCCGUUGCAUCCAGCUGUUGUGGCCGCCGGUAUUCUUAUGUCCCUUCACGAAUUUGCUGCUCCCGUGGAUCUCAGCUCCCAAUCCAGCAGUGCUGCCCACCAGCAAAGAGAUGCUAAAUAAAUCUCUGCAGGCAUUGAGAAACGCUCAGAAUCUCCAUCUCAACAGCCGGGUGGAGAAAACCAUCAUGGAGAACCCCGAUUUGAAAACCUGUUAGAUUACGUCUUGCAAUCACAUCUUGCUGAGUUAAAUGCCUGAAACCUUCCUCACCACCCUGAUCACAUCCUC